GUGUUGUACGAAAAGGACAGAAGGUUAGCACUCCCCUUGACAAGGAUGGAAGAGGCUCUCGGACCUGCACAACACCCACAAAAAAAUUUUUU
rnacentral:ncRNA from 1 species